rnacentral:rRNA from 1 species
GAUGAACGCUGGCGGCGUGCUUAACACAUGCAAGUCGAACGAGAAGUGAAGACGGAAACCUUCGGGCGGAAGGCUUUAUUUCGAGUGGCGGACGGGUGAGUAACGCGUGGGUAACCUGCCUCAUACAGGGGGAUAACAGUUGGAAACGACUGUUAAUACCGCAUAAGACCACAGCACCGCAUGGUGCGGGGGUAAAAACUCCGGUGGUAUGAGAUGGACCCGCGUUCGAUUAGCCAGUUGGCGGGGUAACGGCCCACCAAAGCGACGAUCGAUAGCCGAUCUGAGAGGAUGACCGGCCACAUUGGGACUGAGACACGGCCCAAACUCCUACGGGAGGCAGCAGUGGGGAAUAUUGCACAAUGGGGGAAACCCUGAUGCAGCGACGCCGCGUGAGUGAAGAAGUAUUUCGGUAUGUAAAGCUCGAUCAGCAGGGAAGAAAAUGACGGUACCUGAGGAAGAAGCCCCGGCUAACUACGUG